ACGGGUGAGUAACGCGUAUCCAACCUUCCCGUUACUGCGGGAUAACCUGCCGAAAGGCAGACUAAUACCGCAUGUUCUUCGAUGACGGCAUCAGAUUUGAAGUAAAGAUUUAUCGGUAACGGAGGGGGAUGCGUCUGAUUAGCUAGUUGGCGGGGCGACGGCCCACCAAGGCGACGAUCAGUAGGGGUUCUGAGAGAAAGGUCCCCCACAUUGGAACUGAGACACGGUCCAAACUCC
rnacentral:rRNA from 1 species